rnacentral:rRNA from 1 species
GCCUACGGGGCGCAGCAGUGGGGAAUAUUGCACAAUGGGGGGAACCCUGAUGCAGCGACGCCGCGUGGGUGAAGGAGUACUUCGGUACGUAAAGCCCUAUCAGCAGGAAAGAAAAUGACGGUACCUGACUAAGAAGCCCCGGCUAACUACGUGCCAGCAGCCGCGGUAAUACGUAGGGGGCAAGCGUCAUCCGGAUUUACUGGGUGUAAAGGGAGCGUAGACGGCAGCGCAAGUCUGAAGUGAAAUCCCAUGGCUUAACCAUGGAACUGCUUUGGAAACUGUGCAGCUGGAGUGCAGGAGAGGUA